rnacentral:lncRNA from 1 species
CAGGCUUAGUAAAAGUGGUGCAAAAACAUAUAUGGGCAUUCCUGAUGCUUUAACAAUAGUAAUUGAACUCAAAUUCAACCGAGACUGCCUGACACCGAUUUCACCGUGCGUGCACAGGCACACGCACUUAUAUAUUUAAGAAGGUCUUCUCCUUCAUUCCCAAUGCAGAUCAUGCAGCGCGAUCCUGCGAGGAGCCCCGCCGCAGCACCACGGGCUAACAGCCCCUCCGGUUCCGCUUCCCAGGACGGAUGGGAAGGGAAAAACAGAUGUAUUUACGUAUUUAUAUAAGCGAAAGGCAGCAGAAACGAGGGCGCACACCGGCGGGGAGGGAGGGAGGGAUGAGGGGCCGCGCAGCCCCGCCGCCCCCCGCCGCCUCCCCCGGCCCCGGCAGCGCCUCCGCGGCCACCGCGGGGUGGGGCGCAGCCCCCCCUCCUCAGGGCGCAGCCACGUCCUGCCCCGGGCAGCCUUUCCUUUCCCUUCCUCCUCUCCUCCUUACCGAGUCUCCUUUUAAGGCUUUUCAGUGAUUCAAAAAAACUAAAGUCUUCAUUGUCGCCCCCUUCUCCUCCGCUGCGCCAAGGGGCGGCGGGCGGGACGCGCGCCCCGACACACCGGCAAAAGCGUUCCGAGCCCUGUCAAAUCCUUCCCAUGGCUGCGGCGGCUGCUGCUGCUGCGGAGACGGCGCCCUCCUCCUCCUCCUCCACCCGGUGCGCGUCCUGGGGCGGAGGGAAAGCGCCGGCGUCUCCGCUCCGGCCGCACGCUGCGGGCCGGGAGGCCCCGACGACGACGGCGGCGGCGGCGGUGGCUUCACUCCCGGCGGCGCGAUGGUGUCCCGGCUUCGCCCCCCCGGGCAAAGGGCAUCCUCGGGCGGGCGGUAUAGACUCAACAGCAGAAGUACAUCAGAGGAUUUUGCGCUGA